CAGUCGCCGCGGUAAUACGAAGGUCCCGAGCGUUGUUCGGAAUCACUGGGCGUAAAGGGAGCGUAGGCGGCGUGGUAAGUCAGAUGUGAAAUCCCAGGGCUCAACCCCGGAACUGCAUCCGAUACUGCCGUGCUAGAGGAUUGGAGAGGUAGCUGGAAUUCUUGGUGUAGCAGUGAAAUGCGUAGAGAUCAAGAGGAACACUCGUGGCGAAAGCGAGCUACUGGACAACAUCUGACGCUGAGGCUCGAAGGCCAGGGUAGCGAAAGGGAUUAGAUACCCCGGUAGUCCCUGUCUCUUAUAC
rnacentral:rRNA from 1 species